CAAUUAUGUUCCCCAGCUUCCAAGAAACAGCUAACCACAAGGAUGAAACUUGUGUGGGAGGAAGAGGGAGCACGCUUGGCAGCUGACCUCAGAUGCAGGAGUCGCUGCCACAGGAGGACAGAAUUCACUCUGUAUUCAAGCGGAGCACAUCGGUGCUGUAUGUGAAUUCUAAAUCAGCAUUAAGGAGUGGCUCUUUCCCAGUGUAACCAUCGCUCCUUACAGGCCUCCUGCAAGAGAGAAGAACAUGAGUGCCUCAGAGACAAAAAUCUCCAUGCUCCAGCAGGUCCAGAUAACCAGGAGUUGGACUGGCACAGGACACAGCCACAAUGUCAGCUAAAUGGGAUUGCUGCCUGCAUAGAUUUGGCCUUUAGAAAUGUUUGAAUGAACACAAGAAAAAGGGAAUUAAAUUAUAUAAACCAUUUAAUAUCUGUUAUAUUUUUUGACUUUUAAAAAGUAAAAAAUGUGUUCUUCUACCAUUCACAGGUCAUCUCAUUUUGCAUGAAGAUUUAUCAAAUA